GAUGAACGCUGGCGGCGUGCCUAAUACAUGCAAGUCGAGCGAACAGACGAGGAGCUUGCUCCUUUUACGUUAGCUGCUGACGGGUGAGUAACACGUGGGUAACCUACCUAUAAGACUGGGAUAACUUCGGGAAACCGGAGCUAAUACCGGAUAAUAUUUCGAACCGCAUGGUUCGAUAGUGAAAGAUGGCUCUGCUAUCACUUAUAGAUGGACCUGCGCCGUAUUAGCUAGUUGGUAAGGUAACGGUGUACCAAGGCAACGAUACGUAGCCGACCUGAGAGGAUGAUCGGCACACUGGAACGGAGACACGGUCCAGACUCCUACGGGAGGAAGCAGUAGGCAAUCUUCCGCAAUGGCCGAAAGCCUGACGGAGCAACGCCGCGUGAGUGAUGAAGGUCUUCGGAUCGUAAAACUCUGUUAUUAGGGAAGAACAAACGUGUAAGUAACUGUGCACGUCUUGACGGUACCUAAUCAGAAAGCCACGGCUAACUACGUG
rnacentral:rRNA from 1 species